rnacentral:rRNA from 2 species
CCUACGGGAGGCAGCAGUGGGGAAUCUUAGACAAUGGGGGCAACCCUGAUCUAGCCAUGCCGCGUGAGUGAUGAAGGCCCUAGGGUUGUAAAGCUCUUUCAGCUGGGAAGAUAAUGACGGUACCAGCAGAAGAAGCCCCGGCUAACUCCGUGCCAGCAGCCGCGGUAAU